CCACGUAUUGUCGCCCUGCUCACGUCCCGCUCCAGCGGGGGAGAUUUAAGUUGUUGCAGUUAAAAAGCUCGUAUUUGGAUUUCGGGUGGGUUUCAGCGGUCCGCCUAUGGUGAGUACUGCUGUGGCCUUCCUUACUGUCGGGGACCUGCUUCUGGGCUUCAUUGUCCGGGACAGGGAUUCGGCAUGGUUACUUUGAGUAAAUUGGAGUGUUCAAAGCAGGCUUACGCCGUGAACAUUUUAGCAUGGAAUAACAUGAUAGGACUCUGCCCUAUUCUGUUGGCCUGUAGGAGUGGAGUAAUGAUUAAGAGGAACAGUCGGGGGCAUUCGUAUUUCAUUGUCAGAGGUGAAAUUCUUGGAUUUAUGAAAGACGAACUACUGCGAAAGCAUUUGCCAAGGAUGUUUUCAUUAAUCAAGAACGAAAGUUGGGGGCUCGAAGACGAUCAGAUACCGUCGUGGUCAGGG
rnacentral:rRNA from 1 species